rnacentral:rRNA from 1 species
GAUGAACGCUGGCGGCGUGCUUAACACAUGCAAGUCGAACGAUUAACCCACCUUCGGGUGGUUAUAGAGUGGCGAACGGGUGAGUAACACGUGACCAACCUGCCUUUCACAUUGGGAUAACUCAGAGAAAUUUGAGCUAAUACCAAAUACUCCGGAUUUUUCGCAUGUUAAAUCCGGGAAAGCUCUGGCGGUGAAAGAUGGGGUCGCGGCCUAUUAGGUAGUUGGUAGGGUAAUGGCCUACCAAGCCAACGAUAGGUAGCCGGGUUGAGAGACUGGUCGGCCACAUUGGGACUGAGAUACGGCCCAGACUCCUACGGGAAGCAGCAGUGGGGAAUUUUGCGCAAUGGGGGAAACCCUGAUGCAGCGACGCCGCGUGAAGGAAGAAGUAUUUCGGUAUGUAAACUUCUAUCAGCAGGGAAGAAAAUGACGGUACCUGACUAAGAAGCCCCGGCUAAUUACGUGCCAGCCGC